GACGAACGCUGGCGGCGUGCUUAACACAUGCAAGUCGAGCGGUAAGGCCCUUUCGGGGGCACACGAGCGGCGAACGGGUGAGUAACACGUGGGUGACCUGCCCUCAGCUCUGGGAUAAGCCUGGGAAACCGGGUCUAAUACUGGAUAUGACUCCAUGACGCAUGUUGUGGGGUGGAAAGCCUUGUGCGGCUGAGGAUGGGCCCGCGGCCUAUCAGCUUGUUGGUGGGGUGAUGGCCUACCAAGGCGACGACGGGUAGCCGGCCUGAGAGGGCGACCGGGCCACACUGGGACUGAGACACGGCCCAGGACUCCUACGGGAGGCAGCAGUGGGGAAUCUUGCGCAAUGGGCGAAAGCCUGACGCAGCGACGCCGCGUGAGGGAUGACGGCCU
rnacentral:rRNA from 1 species